GACGAACGCUGGCGGCGUGCUUAACACAUGCAAGUCGAACGGAGUGGCGAACGGGUGAGUAACACGUGGGUGACCUGCCCUGCACUUCGGGAUAAGCCUGGGAAACUGGGUCUAAUACCGGAUAGUGUGGGAUGGGCCCGCGGCCUAUCAGCUUGUGGGGGGGGUAAUGGCCUACCAAGGCGGCGCCGGGGAGCCGGCCUGAGAGGGUGGACGGGCACAUUGGGACUGGGGCACGGCCCAGACGGCUACGGGCGGCAGCAGUGGAGAAUAUUGCAGAAUGGGCGGAAGCCAGUUGCAGCGACGCCGCGUGGGGGAUGACGGCCUUUGGGUUGUAAACUCCUUUCACCGUCGACGCGGUAGAUGGAGAGGAAGCACCGGCUAACUACGUGCCAGCAGCCGCGGUAAUAC
rnacentral:rRNA from 1 species